UGACCGCUGGCGGCGUGCCUACUACAUGCACGUCGAGCGAACGGACGAGAAGCUUGCUUCUCUGAUGUUAGCGGCGGACGGGUGAGUAACACGUGGAUAACCUACCUAUAAGACUGGGAUAACUUCGGGAAACCGUAGCUAAUACCGGAUAAUAUUUUGAACCGCAUGGUUCAAAAGUGAAAGACGGUCUUGCUGUCACUUAUAGAUGGAUCCGCGCUGCAUUAGCUAGUUGGUAAGGUAACGGCUUACCAAGGCAACGAUGCAUAGCCGACCUGAGAGGGUGAUCGGCCACACUGGAACUGAGACACGGUCCAGACUCCUACGGGAGGCAGCAGUAGGGAAUCUUCCGCAAUGGGCGAAAGCCUGACGGAGCAACGCCGCGUGAGUGAUGAAGGUCUUCGGAUCGUAAAACUCUGUUAUUAGGGAAGAACAUAUGUGUAAGUAACUGUGCACAUCUUGACGGUACCUAAUCAGAAAGCCACGGCUAACUACGU
rnacentral:rRNA from 1 species